rnacentral:rRNA from 1 species
AUGCUCACGCUCAACAUCGCCAGAGCUUUCCACUCAAUCUCCUGGCCUUUCCUCCUCGAGGUCCUCCGCCAUCUUGGCUUCGGCCCGCGCUGGCGCGAAUGGGUCUCCAUCAUCCUCACCACGGCAUCGACACGAGUCCUCAUAAACAAAGUACCUGGGCACCCCAUCUCACAUGCCCAAGGAUUAUGACAAGGCGACCCGCUAUCCCCUAUGCUAUUCGCCCUCGUCAUUGAUGUGCAUAACUCCUUGCUUCUUCGGGCUUCUCACAAGGGUCUGCUUGAGUGGCUUACCCCAGGGCACGCAACUUUGAGUGUAUCCCUAUAUGCCGACAACGUCAUUAUUUCUUGCCACCCAAACACGCAUGUUAUCUCGACCAUCAAGGAGCUUCUCCAUGUCUUUGGCAUUGCCUCCGGUCUUCGGACUAACCUAGCUGAAUGCUCGGCCGCCCCGAUUGGUUGCUCGGAGGUGCACGAGGACAUGAUCCGGAGAGACCUCGCUUGCCCCAUCUCAUCCUUGCCGGUCCGGUACCUUGGCAUGCCCGUGUCUCCUGGAAAGCUCCAUCGUUGGCACUCAUCCCGCUGGAUGAGAAGAUCGAGCACAAAUUCCCACCCGGCGAGCGGCGAUGCUCUCUCUCGCUGA